rnacentral:lncRNA from 1 species
CGGCUUUUAAAGGCACGACACUCCUUGGCUCAUGGCUCCCAGGUCACAGCCACAUCUCUGCAAUCUGUUUCGGUGCUCACAUGUCUUCCUCUGACUCUCCCGUCUCUCAUUUACAUGUGUAAAGACACUUGUGAUUAUACUGAACCCACAGGAAUAAUCCAGGACAAUCUCACCAAUUCAAGAACCUUAAUUUAAUCACAUCUACAAAGUCCCUCAUCCCAGUCCAAUCUCAGAUGUGGCCAAGAAGUUUCUAAGCAGAGAAAAACGUUCAAGAGAGCGAAACCCAGAACUGCCAUAAAUAUUCAUCAAGGAAAAUCUCUUGAGUAGCAGAGCAGAUACUUUUCACAUGCAAAGGCCUAUAGGGAUAGAGGAGUAGAAGAUGAAAGAAGUGUGGUUUCCUGACAUGAUUAAGCUACUAUAAAACCUGGAAAUGCCCUGGUAUGUUAGGUGAGAGCUUUCUGCAUACAUUGUUGGGAGUGCAUCUGAGAAGGAGAAAUUAGGUAUACAGAAGCAAGGGAAUGCUGGCCUAGCAUGAAGAUGGGCCACAUCAUGCCCAGCUACCAAGGGAAGAACAGGCUUCAUCACAAGAUCUCCAAGCAUCCAUGAUUUGACUUGUAUCAUCUUAUACAUUCUUACUAUGUAUUAUGUGAUUUUAUAGGAAAUAUAAUAUAAAUCAAUAUAUAACUUCAUAUUCAUGUUAAUAUAUAGCUAUGUCUUUAUCCAAACUAAAAUAUAAAUUAUACUUUAAGACAUUCCAAAAGAUUUAAUAGAGUUGGUAGAAAUUAAAUAGCUAAUAAAUAAAUACUAGUCUCAUUUUCCCUAUGCAUAUUUUUACUUUUAAAUUUUGAUUAAAAAGAAAAAUAUUAAAAAUAAUAUUGAUAGAAAUACAUCUGGUUAGUCCUACCUAUUAAUUUUUUUUUUUUUUGAGAUGGAGUUUUGCUCUUGUCUCCCAGGCUGGAAAACAGUGGCAUGAUCUUGGCUCACUGCGACUCCGCCUCCCAGGUUCAAGCGAUUCUCCUGUCUCAGUCUCACAAGUAGCUGGGAUUACAGGCACCCGCCACCAUGCUCAGCUAUUUUUUUUAUUUUUAUUAUUUUUUUAUUUUUAGUAGAGACAGGGUUUCACCAUGUGGCCAGGCUGGUCUCAAACUCCUGACCUCAGGUGAUCCGCCUGCCUCGGCCUCCCAAAGUGGUGGCAUUACAGACGUGAGCCACUGCGCCCAGCCAGUCCUACCUAUCAAUUUUUACAUAAAUGAUACUGGCCAGAAAGAAUAAAGCUGACAGGAUAAAAAGUAAGGGUACAAUUAAAGGAUACAAACAAAUGUAAUGUAAUAAAUGAAUAGAGAAGUUUCCACAUAUAGGCUGUUAUGAUGCUCUGCUUAGUCUUUACUUGACUGUGUUCCAUAUGCAUCAUAUAGAAAGUUCUCUUCUUGUUACUCAUUUUUCUCUUUGUGCUUUACUAAAUAUAAUUUCUAUUGUAUUCUCUUUCAGUUCAUAGGUCUUUUUUUCUACUGAGUUCAUUAUUUAUUUCCUGUGAGUAUCUGUCCACUCCUGUGUUAACAGGUGAAAGGCAUGAGAGGUCACCUCAAUGUCAUAGUAAAAUGUCUGUUUCAAUAACAGGUCACAGCGAUUAGCUUUGAAGAUGUGACUUUGGUAUACAUGCUGCAGGGUUCUGCUUUAAGGAGGACUAUGCCUCUCAAUAUUUCACACUGCCUUUCAGGUCCAGCCCACGACCACUGAGGUAUCAACUUCACUGGACUUGGCAGAUCUUUGUUACAUCUUCCUGGAAGUUCUAGCCUUUGCAUAUUUUGAGUUUAGCUUAUUAGAUUUUAACCACAUGUGGCUUCAUAACCUGGCAAAUGUCUGGAAGGAAAAACAUGUCUUAUAUAUGUUGAAGGUUUCUCUUUCUAGUCCUUGUCUCCUGUGCAUUUUAUAACAGUGGGGUAGCACUGAGGCCAUUGGUCAAUUAUGCAGAUUUCCCAGAAGCAGUAGAUCUGAGUACUUGUUUUCCUGGUGAGCACAGUCUACCACUUGGGCCACACAGAUCCACUUUCUAAGCAGUGUUAGAGAAUAGCUCC